rnacentral:rRNA from 1 species
UACGUAGGGGGCAAGCGUUGUCCGGAAUCAUUGGGCGUAAAGAGCGUGUAGGCGGCCCGAUAAGUCCGCUGUGAAAGUCCAGGGCUCAACCCUGGAAAGCGGGUGGAUACUGCCGGGCUAGAAUCCGGAAGAGGAGAGUGGAAUUCCUGGUGUAGCGGUGAAAUGCGCAGAUAUCAGGAAGAACACCCGUGGCGAAGGCGGCUCUCUGGUACGUGACUGACGCUGAGACGCGAAAGCGUGGGGAGCGAACAGG